CUUUGUCAGCACCACAUUCAGGAGCUACAGUGAGCAAGGCAGGGUGAACUCUGCUCUCUACCGUCAUGCACGGGGGAUGCAAAGUCCCAGGCCUCUUGAAUCUACAACAACUAUUGUGAGAAUGGUCUGGAUCAGCAGGGCAAUGAAGUUGUUGAAUCCAAACAUCAGGGCAUAGCGUUCCAUGCUCAGAUUGACGGCGAUCUGGAACCUGACGGGAAACUGGCAGACUGUGCCAGACAGGCUGUACAGAGUCCAUGGCUGGAAGCUGGCACUGGAAGCAGUUCUGCCCUGGCUGGGAGGUCACUCUGGGUAUCUUCUAACCAAGCUUUCUGUGGUGAUGAGUCACAUUUUGCUUUGUGAUUUGACACUGGAGAAAGUGCAUAAAAAAUGAAUUGAAAGAUCCUUAACUGGGAGACAAACUUACCCUGUCAUUCCAUCUGCACUGACCAAGAUAAACACAGGAAAAGCCUUUCUAGAUUGAAGUGGCUGAAGACAGCUGAGCACUGAGAUUUCCCUCGACACCGUGACUGAUCACAGCCAAGCACUUUGUUGAAUGAUGAGGAUAACUCUGGAGCCUAGCAGAUGGAGCUGCUAAGUAAUACAGAAAGGAUAUCAAGCCAGACUCUCAUCUGGAAUUAUCUGCAUGAGAAGUCCAUUUUGGCUACAGACAUCAUAUUUUCCAUUUAUAAAAUUGGUCACAGAAGGUUAACAGUUCAUGCUAAAAUGAAA